rnacentral:lncRNA from 1 species
AGAAAAUUCACAGAUUCAAUAUUUGCAAACCAAAUCACAAUGAGAAAACACAAAACUUUGGCAUUUCUUAUAUUACAUACAUAGAUGUUACACUGUUACAGAAAGUUCAAAGCUACAUGUGUCAAGACUUAGACUUGAUAAUUCCAAGAGGAUCAAACAAUACAAAACUACAUCUGAUUCUACAACAUAACAACAUUUCUCCAAGAAGCUCAAAAGUCUCUGCUAUUGAGUCCUCAUGGAGUAAAACAAGAAGACUUGCCUAAAAUUUUCCUGAGUUUUCUCGGUUAUAAGUCUCCAUGGAUGUGCUUCAGUUCUAAAGGAAGCUUCUUCGUUACUGCUUCAAAGUCGUCCUCUUCUUGUCUCUUUGUCUUCUAGAAGUUGCAUUAAGCUCAUAUCGUUCUUUCAACUUGUCGAAGGCCUAGACUCAGACAAUGAAAAAGAUGUGACAUUUUAGAAGUUGCAAAAAGAAUGUGCAUACUAAUGGCAAUGGUCAGAAAGAAAAGAUGAGAGCAGUGCUAAAUCAUGAAUUUCAACUUCUGUUUUUCACUUACACCUAAGAGUUUAAUGAGAAAACUAGCUGUGCUACUACUGUGUCUUUUAAUCUGCGGUUGAAGGAAGAAAGAGAGAUACUUGCCUGCUGAGUGAAGCAGUCUCGUUUGUGGAAUCUUGAAGUUGAUUAAUCUCAGUUUUGUUCUCGUUGAUUGCUAUAGCCCCAGAGUUUUCAGAGGAUGCCUUAGAAUAGUGAGGUUGUUGAG